UACGAAGGGGGCUAGCGUUACUCGGAUUGACUGGGCGUAAAGGGCGCGUAGGCGGUUUGUACAGUCAGACGUGAAAUUCCUGGGCUCAACCUGGGGGCUGCGUUUGAUACGUGCAGACUUGAGUUCGGAAGAGGGUCGUGGAAUUCCCAGUGUAGAGGUGAAAUCCGUAGAUAUUCGCAAGAACACCAGUGGCGAAGGCGGCUCACUGGCUCGGUACUGACGCUGAGGUGCGAAAGCGUGGGGAGCAAACAGG
rnacentral:rRNA from 1 species